rnacentral:rRNA from 1 species
CCUACGGGAGGCUGCAGUGGGGAAUAUUGGACAAUGGGGGGAACCCUGAUCCAGCCAUGCCGCGUGUGUGAAGAAGGCCCUCGGGUUGUAAAGCACUUUCAGUGAGGAAGAACGCCUGGUGGUUAAUACCCAUCAGGAAAGACAUCACUCACAGAAGAAGCACCGGCUAACUCCGUGCCAGCAGCCGCGGUAAUACGGAGGGUGCGAGCGUUAAUCGGAAUUACUGGGCGUAAAGCGCGCGUAGGUGGCUUGAUAAGCCGGUUGUGAAAGCCCCGGGCUCAACCUGGGAACGGCAUCCGGAACUGUCAAGCUAGAGUGCAGGAGAGGAAGGUAGAAUUCCCGGUGUAGCGGUGAAAUGCGUAGAGCUCGGGAGGAAUACCAGUGGCGAAGGCGGCCUUCUGGACUGACACUGACACUGAGGUGCGAAAGCGUGGGUAGCAAACAGGAUUAGAUACCCCAGUAGUC